rnacentral:rRNA from 1 species
GAUGAACGCUAGCGGCAGGCUUAACACAUGCAAGUCGAGGGGCAGCAGUGAGGGUUAGCAAUAACUCUUGAUGGCGACCGGCGCAAGGGUGCGUAACGCGUGAGCAACUUGCCCGUUUCUGGGGAAUAACCGGUGGAAACGCCGACUAAUACCCCAUGGCAUUGAUUGGAGGCAUCUCCGAUCAAUUAAAGAAUUUCGGAAACGGAUAGGCUCGCGUGACAUUAGCUAGAUGGCGGGGUAACGGCCCACCAAGGCGACGAUCGUUAGGGGUUCUGAGAGGAAGGUCCCCCACACUGGAACUGAGACACGGUCCAGACUCCUACGGGAGGCAGCAGUGAGGAAUAUUGGUCAAUGGUCGGAAGACUGAACCAGCCAAGUAGCGUGAAGGAUGACUGCCCUACGGGUUGUAAACUUCUUUUGUUUGGGAAUAAAGUGCAGUAUGUAUACUGUUUUGUAUGUACCGUUCGAAUAAGCAUCGGCUAAUUCCGUG